rnacentral:lncRNA from 1 species
GUGGUAUUGGUUCCUAUUUGGGGUUGUCUACUUCAUUCACAAGGAAUGAAAACGAUGCUGGCAACAGCUACAUAAGUAGGAACAGGUUUUAUGAAUUUGUUGGGUUAUUUAAUUUUCUUGCCUGGUUUUGCCAAAGAUACAGGGUAAUGACUGAGACUGCUACUCCCCCUGGAGACGUUAAUGAUAAUGGUA